rnacentral:rRNA from 1 species
CCUACGGGAGGCAGCAGUGAGGAAUAUUGGUCAAUGGGCGGGAGCCUGAACCAGCCAAGUCGCGUGAAGGAAGACGGCCCUACGGGUUGUAAACCUCUUUUGUACGGGAAUAACGCGCGUCACGUGUAGCUCUUUGCGUGUACCCGAAGAAAAAGCAUCGGCUAACUCCGUGCCAGCAGCCGCGGUAAUACGGAGGAUGCGAGCGUUAUCCGGAUUUAUUGGGGUUAAAGGGUGCGGAGGCCGGAGUGCAAGUACGCGGGCAAAUUUCCGGGCUCAACCCGCGCAUUGCUGUGGAAACUGGAGGCCUUGAGUGCGCGAGAAGUAGGCGGAAUGCGUGGUGUAGCGGUGAAAUGCAUAGAUAUGACGCAGAACUCCGAUUGCGAAGGCAGCAUACUGACGCGGAACUGACGCUGAUGCUCGAAAGCGUGGGUAUCGAACAGGAUUAGAUACCCGUGUAGUC